CCUACGGGAGGCAGCAGUGGGGAAUCUUGCGCAAUGGGCGAAAGCCUGACGCAGCCAUGCCGCGUGAAUGAUGAAGGUCUUAGGAUUGUAAAAUUCUUUCACCGGGGACGAUAAUGACGGUACCCGGAGAAGAAGCCCCGGCUAACUUCGUGCCAGCAGCCGCGGUAAUACGAAGGGGGCUAGCGUUGCUCGGAAUUACUGGGCGUAAAGGGAGCGUAGGCGGAUAGUUUAGUCAGAGGUGAAAGCCCAGGGCUCAACCUUGGAAUUGCCUUUGAUACUGGCUAUCUUGAGUUUGGGAGAGGUGAGUGGAACUCCGAGUGUAGAGGUGAAAUUCGUAGAUAUUCGGAAGAACACCAGUGGCGAAGGCGACUCACUGGCCCAAUACUGACGCUGAGGCUCGAAAGCGUGGGGAGCAAACAGGAUUAGAUACCCUGGUAGUCCACGCCGUAAACGAUGAGUGCUAGUUGUCGGCAUGCAUGCAUGUCGGUGACGCAGCUAACGCAUUAAGCACUCCGCCUGGGGAGUACGGUCGCAAGAUUAAAACUUAAGGAAUUGACGGCUGAGACGNGCGAGACGACGACGAGGGAGAGG
rnacentral:rRNA from 1 species